rnacentral:rRNA from 1 species
UACGUAGGUGGCAAGCGUUAUCCGGAUUUAUUGGGUGUAAAGGGCGUGUAGCCGGGCUGACAAGUCAGAUGUGAAAUCCGGGGGCUCAACCCCCGAACUGCAUUUGAAACUGUUGGUCUUGAGUAUCGGAGAGGCAGGCGGAAUUCCUAGUGUAGCGGUGAAAUGCGUAGAUAUUAGGAGGAACACCAGUGGCGAAGGCGGCCUGCUGGACGACAACUGACGGUGAGGCGCGAAAGCGUGGGGAGCAAACAGG